GACGAACGCUGGCGGCGUGCCUAACACAUGCAAGUCGAAGAGAAUCAUUUGAACAGAGGCUUGGCCGACGGAAUUUUGAGGAAGUGGCGAACGGGUGAGUAACGCGUGAGAAACCUGCCUUUCAGUGGGGGACAACAGUUGGAAACGACUGCUAAUACCGCAUAACAUGUACGGACCGCAUGAUCUGUACAUCAAAGCUUUAUGUGCUGAAAGAUGGCCUCGCGUCUGAUUAGAUAGUUGGUGGGGUAACGGCCCACCAAGUCGACGAUCAGUAGCCGGUCUGAGAGGAUGAACGGCCACAAUGGGACUGAGACACGGCCCAUACUCCUACGGGAGGCAGCAGUGGGGAAUAUUGGGCAAUGGGCGAAAGCCUGACCCAGCGACGCCGCGUGAGGGAAGAAGGUCUUCGGAUUGUAAACCUUUGUUGACAGGGAAGAAACAAAUGACGUAACCUGUCGAGGAAGCCACGGCUAACUACGUG
rnacentral:rRNA from 1 species